NNNNNNNNNNNNNCUUCUGCAUGGUGCCUCCAGUUGGGAAAGGUGUGUCAAUGAAGAAAAAGCGGACUGUGCAUUAUCCAAACAUUCCAUCAGCUAUACGCCCAGUACCCCACGGAGAAGGACUGCCAGUUCCUGAUGCACCAGAAUCAUUCUCACUUGAGUCAGACGAGGAAGAGGAUGAAACUUCUGGUCCUGAACCAUCCAUGUCACAGGACCCACAUUUUCUCCCAUCCUCCUCCUCUGAACCACACCUCAUAACACAAAGUGAACUGAAUGACCUUGUCAGGGAUUUAGAACUACCCAAGAGUAAGGCAGAGCUGUUGGGCUCCAAACUACAGCAGUGGAAUCUCCUGGCACGUGAUGUUAGGGUUUCCAUGUUCCGUGACCAUCAAAAGGAUCUUGUCCCAUUCUUCUUCAUGGAAGGUGAUCUUGUAGCCUGCAACAACAUCGAUGGUGUGAUGGCAGCCCUCAACAUCGUUCACGAUCCAGUUGAGUGGAGACUGUUUAUUGAUUCAUCGAAGACGAGUCUUAAAGCUGUUUUACUGCAUAAUGGCAAUGUUUUGCCAUCAAUUCCAGUUGGUCAUGCAGUCCAUAUGAAGGAAACCUAUGACAACAUGAAACAACUUUUGAGGAGCAUAAACUAUGACCAACAUCAGUGGCAGCUUUGUGGAGAUUUGAAGGUUGUUGCUCUCUUGCUUGGUCUGCAGACUGGAUACACAAAGUACUGCUGUUUUCUCUGCGAAUGGGAUAGUUGUGCAAGAGAUUGGCCACUCCAACAGUCAUUGGAGCCUGGGAGGAAAAGUGUUCAGCAUCCACCACUUGUUGAAUCAAGGAAGAUUUUGUUACCACCCUUACACAUCAAGGUGGGUCUGAUGAAGAACUUUGUCAAGGCCAUUGACAAAACACAAGCAGCUUUCAAGUACCUCCGUGGAAAAUUUCCAAGGUUAAGUGAAGUUAAGAUAAAGGAAGGUGUCUUUGUUGGUCCUCAGAUUCGUGAACUUCUUUGAGAUGAUGCAUUUGACCAUGCACUGUGUGGCAAGGAAAAGACGGCAUGGAAAGCUUUCCAGUUAGUGGCAAUAAAUUUUCUUGGAAACAACA
rnacentral:lncRNA from 1 species